UCCUGGUUUCCCAGGCAGUCCCAUCAGAGUGCCCUCUUACGAAGUAGCAACUGAUAGUAGGGGUUGCGCUCGUUAUAGGACUUAACCCAACAUCUCACGACACGAGCUGACGACAGCCAUGCAGCACCUGUUCAUAUGUCUCUGGUUUCCCAGAGAAAACUCCGUUUCUGGAGCGGUCAUAUGUAUGUCAAACCUAGGUAAGGUUCCUCGCGUAGUGUCGAAUUAAACCACAUGUUCCACCGCUUGUGCGGACCCCCGUCAAUUCCUUUGAGUUUUAAUCUUGCGACCGUAGUCCCCAGGCGGAUCACUUAACGCGUUAGCUACGACACUAAUUCUGCAGGGCAGAACCAACGUCUAGUGAUCAUCGUUUACGGCGUGGACUAC
rnacentral:misc_RNA from 1 species